CCUGGUGUCUCUAGCGCCGUGGACCCACUGCGAUUCCAUCCCGAACUCGCUUGUGAAACGCGGCAGCGGCCAAGAUACUUGUGGGGUAGCCCACCGGGACAAUAGCUCGAUGCCAGGA
rfam:Cyanobacterium endosymbiont of Epithemia turgida isolate EtSB Lake Yunoko DNA, complete genome.